rnacentral:rRNA from 1 species
UACGGAGGGUGCGAGCGUUGUCCGGAAUCAUUGGGCGUAAAGGGCGCGUAGGCGGCGCGGUAAGCGUGCGGUGAAAGCCCGGGGCUCAACCCCGGGUCGGCCGUGCGGACUGCCGGGCUGGAGCACUGUAGAGGCAGGUGGAAUUCCGGGUGUAGCGGUGGAAUGCGUAGAGAUCCGGAAGAACACCGGUGGCGAAGGCGGCCUGCUGGGCAGUGGCUGACGCUGAUGCGCGACAGCGUGGGGAGCAAACAGG